GGCUUAGAGUUUGAUCAUGGCUCAGGACGAACGCUGGCGGCGUGCCUAACACAUGCAAGUCGAACGGAGUAACUUGACGGAAGUUUUCGGAUGGAAGUCUUGUUGCUUAGUGGCGGACGGGUGAGUAACACGUGAGUAACCUGCCUCUCAGAGGGGGAUAACGUCUUGAAAAGGACGCUAAUACCGCAUGACAUCUCUUGACCGCAUGGUCGGGGGAUCAAAGGAGCAAUCCGCUGAGAGAUGGACUCGCGUCCGAUUAGCCAGUUGGCGGGGUAACGGCCCACCAAAGCAACGAUCGGUAGCCGGACUGAGAGGUUGAACGGCCACAUUGGGACUGAGACACGGCCCAGACUCCUACGGGAGGCAGCAGUGGGGGAUAUUGCACAAUGGGGGAAACCCUGAUGCAGCAACGCCGCGUGAAGGAUGAAGGUCUUCGGAUUGUAAACUUUUGUCCUAUGGGAAGAAGAAAGUGACGGUACCAUAGGAGGAAGCUCCGGCUAACUACGUGCCAGCAGCCGCGGUAAUACGUAGGGAGCAAGCGUUGUCCGGAUUUACUGGGUGUAAAGGGUGCGUAGGCGGAAGAGCAAGCCAGUAGUGAAAUCUGGGGGCUUAACCCCCAAACUGCUAUUGAAACUGUUUUUCUUGAGUGGAGUAGAGGUAGGCG
rnacentral:rRNA from 1 species